rnacentral:rRNA from 1 species
UACGUAGGGUGCAAGCGUUGUCCGGAAUUAUUGGGCGUAAAGAGCUCGUAGGCGGUCUGUCACGUCGGCUGUGAAAACCCGAGGCUCAACCUCGGGCCUGCAGUCGAUACGGGCAAACUAGAGUACUGCAGGGGAGACUGGAAUUCCUGGUGUAGCGGUGAAUGCGCAGAUAUCAGGAGGAACACCGGUGGCGAAGGCGGGUCUCUGGGC